GUCUACGGCCAUACUACCCUGAACACAUCUGAUCUCGUCUGAUCUCGGAAGCUAAGCAGGGUCAGGUCUGGUUAGUACUUGGAUGGGAGACCACAGUUGAGGUGGGAGAAGUGGGAUAGACG